rnacentral:rRNA from 1 species
UACGUAGGGUGCGAGCGUUGUCCGGAAUUAUUGGGCGUAAAGAGCUCGUAGGCGGUUUGUUGCGUCUAUCGUGAAAACCUGCAGCUUAACUGUGGGCUUGCGGUGGAUACGGGCAGACUUGAGUUCGGUAGGGGAGACUGGAAUUCCUGGUGUAGCGGUGGAAUGCGCAGAUAUCAGGAGGAACACCGGUGGCGAAGGCGGGUCUCUGGGCAGUAACUGACGCUGAGGAGCGAAAGCGUGGGGAGCGAACAGG